UGAAGUCUGGGCAGUUGACAAAGA
rnacentral:piRNA from 1 species